GAUGAACGCUGGCGGCGUGCCUAAUACAUGCAAGUCGAGCGAACGGACGAGAAGCUUGCUUCUCUGAUGUUAGCGGCGGACGGGUGAGUAACACGUGGAUAACCUACCUAUAAGACUGGGAUAACUUCGGGAAACCGGAGCUAAUACCGGAUGAUAUUUUGAACCGCAUGGUUCAAAGUGAAAGACGGUCUUUCUGUUACCUAUUGAUGGAUCCGCGCUGCAUUAGCUAGUUGGUAAGGUAACGGCUUACCAAGGCAACGAUGCAUAGCCGACCUGAGAGGGUGAUCGGCCACACUGGAACUGAGACACGGUCCAGACUCCUACGGGAGGCAGCAGUAGGGAAUCUUCCGCAAUGGGCGAAAGCCUGACGGAGCAACGCCGCGUGAGUGAUGAAGGUCUUCGGAUCGUAAAACUCUGUUAUUAGGGAAGAACAUAUGUGUAAGUAACUGUGCACAUCUUGACGGUACCUAAUCAGAAAGCCACGGCUAACUACGUG
rnacentral:rRNA from 1 species